GUUUUUGGGAGAAAAAGGGAGAAAGUGAGAAACCAAGAGAAGAGAGAAGUCAGAAAAGAGAAGAAUCUUGUGAGAAGAGGAGCAAUCUUGUAGAGUUCGAUCGAUUAACCUAAGGUGAUCGAGUUUAAGUUGUUGUUAAAUUGCUGUCGUGAGUGGACUAUCUCUCACGUGUGUCUUAGGUGCUCUGAUACGUAACGGGAUGAGAACUUUGUUGCAUGCUUUUCUAUUCCUUACGUAAUGUUUAUGAAUUUACAUGACUAAAUUGUUAAUUUGAUUUUUAUGAGAUGUUUUGAUGAGGCCUUAGUGCCAAAGUUAUUUAAGAUGAUAAUUAGUUAA
rnacentral:lncRNA from 1 species